rnacentral:tRNA from 1 species
GCCAGUGUGACCGAGUGGUUUAAGGUGCCAGAUUUAAGAUUCCUCGGAAUAAAACCCUGGUGGGGCAACCCGCGCGAGUUCGAACCUCGUCGCUGGCA